GGGCGGAGGGCCGGGCGGGCCGGGCCGGGCUGGGCCGGUGAGCUGCGCGGGGCGCGGGGCCGAGGGAGCCGGGCUCCCCCUGCUUCUCGGGCUGCGCCCCUUGCUUGUCUGGCCGCAGCUUCUUUGUAAGAAAGUGCGUGUGCAGGAAGCCGUGCCUGACGCGGGGCGGGGGGCCUGGGGGGCCUGGAGAGAGAAGGAUGGAAGAACUGUGCGAGCUCGCGGCCGUCGGUGCAGUCGCGGGGCGGGGACCGGGUUCCUGCGACCCGGAGGCCAGCGGCGACCAGCAAAGCCUCACAAACAACUCCGGAGUUUGGCACUUCCUCCCGGUGUGAGUGAUGUGCCUAAAAUGGCUGACAUCACAGCCAGCCCAAAGCCCUGCUGCUUCCUACUUUCGCUUGGAGGCUGAACAGCACUUGGACUAAGUCCGCCCACUAUCCCCAUAUCCAAAGAAAAAAUACUGGAACUAAGCUGUGAGGGCUAGAGUCUUCCUUUGUGACCGCACAGCAGUUAUGGAUGAAUGGACAGAUACAAAAUGACUAAUUCUUUUUCUGGCUAUAAGCUCAAAGAUUUCUUCAGCAAGUGAUAAAAUACUGCUGUACAUGAAAAAUAGAAUCCUUACAAUCAGCUAGUCACUUAAUGAUAAAUGGAAAGCGUAUUUUAUAACACACAUUUGUGAAAGAGCUCUCUCUUCAUCUUAGAGCUUGGGCAGUGAUUACAUAAUGUUCUCUGGCUCCUUGGGGUGACUAUACAGUAACCACCUAGUUUGACUGCCUGGAUUCUGCACAGAAUCACCCUUCUGGAGGCUUUCCUUUUGUUGAGAGGAUCAAGUAAAGCUAGUUAUGGACCAGAACUCCUGAACAAGACUUGGUAAUACCUUUAACCCUCCUAGAACACAGUAUCCUAAAAAACAGCGUUUCUCAAAAUGUACUCUUUUUUUUUAUUAUUAAAUAUUUUUAUUGAUUUCAGAGAGGAAGGGGGGAGGGAGAGAGAGAGAGAGAAACAUCCAUGAGUAGAGAGAAUUCAUGGAUCGGCUGCCUCCUGCACGUCCCCUACUGGGGAUCGAGCCCGCAACCCGGGCAUGUGCCCUUGACCGGAAUCGAACCCAGGCCCUUUCGGUCUGAAGGCCGAUGCUCUAUCCACUGAGCCACACCGGCUGAGGCUCAAAAUGUACUCUUAAGGGGCACUUGCUCUCAUAUCAUCGGGGACUCUGAUUUGAAAAUACAGAUUCUACUACCUUAUGCUUCAAGAAUUCCAUCACUCCGGUCAGCUGGCUUAUUGCUAUCGAAUCGUAACUUAAAUAACUGAGGUGUCUAUUUGAAAGGCAUGCUGUUUUUUCAACAGGAAAUAUUUUCUGAAUUCACAUUAUAACUAAUGGUACUUGGACUGCUUUGUCUAUCUUUGUUAUCAGUAGAGGAUGAUCCAGGAAAAAUUUCUCCUCCGAUACAUUGAUGAAUUUAUUCUCUUAAACUUGUUGGCACUUUUUAUUAGUGCUCAGACUGAAGAAGUUAAGGACUUUGCCCUCGAAGAUAUUCUUCAGGCCAUAACUGCUGUCUGUUAAAUAAAGGAUUUGACAAUUUUGAAUUUCUGAAUGAGGUUGUUGUUUAUACGUUGUAGAAAAUAGUAAUACUGCAGCUAUAUUUUCAAGAAGCUUAUAUUAUGUGUGAAGAGUUAUUUUCUUGGCUCUGUUUUGUUCUUUGUACAAAGCUUAACAGUGAGAAUCACAGGGUAGACUGCUGAAAGUUGAAAAUUGGAAAUUAUAUUAGAGAUAUGACCCUAAGAAAAAUCAUUGAAAAAAUAUGAAAUUGUGAUUAUCCUCUUUAAUCAGUAUUUAUGAUACAUAUUCUUAACUGCUUUUAGGAAAACUACAAUAAAAUUGUACUUUCUAACAAUUGCAUGAAUAAAAUUAUUUUAAACAAUUGAAGACUUUUUGUGCUCUUAAAUUGAGUAGAGGUAAAAAUAACUUUUAGGGAGCAUUUCUAUAUUCUACCAUUUGGGAGGAAAUCAAGAAUAUUCUUAAGCAGAAGAAUUUCAGUCUUGAGUUACAGAAAUAAGGAAAUUACUCUUUAUGAUAGAGGGAUUUCUAAUUUUUCAUUUAUUUCUUUUUUUACUUUAAUGCUGAUAAGUUUCCAGCAGUAAUUUUAUGACUUAGAGCUAAUGAAAAUAUAUCAAGAAAAAUUAAUGUUGAAGUUAAAACACUAACAUUUUGAAGUUAAAUAUCUUGGAAACUUGUUUGGGAAAUUAAUACUAAGUAUGGUGUUAUAUAUUUAAUACUUUGAGGUUUUGAAUAUUUGCAUAAGCCUUUUUGGCAUAGUUUUGAUGGAUUUUUGUAUUUCUGAAUGUUUAACUUUUAAUGCCAAAAUCAUUUUAAGAAACUUAAGUCUAUGUUUUGCAGAAUGAGUUAAAAAUAGGUUAAAUCUUGAAUUUAUUUUUUUCUUUAAAUAUGAUUAUAAUGUUUAAAAUUAUCUAUACUAAUAAAAGGGUAAUAUGCUAAUUAGACUGGGUUGACUGGACAUCUUCUGGUUGUCCGGUCCUCCUUCCAGACAAAACCAUGGUGGUGGGGCCGAGGCAGAGGCGGUUAGGGGCAUUCAGGCCAGCAGGGGAGCAGUUAGGGAUGAUCAGGCUAGCAGUUGAGGGCGGUGAGGGGCGAUCAGGCAGGGAGGCAGAGGUGGUUAGGGGUGAUCAGACAGGCAGGCAGGUGAGUGGUUAGGAGCCAGUGGUCCCAGAUUUCAAGAGGGAUGUCCGACUGGCGGUUUAGGCCCCACAGGGAUUGGGCCUAAACCAGCAGUCAGACAUCCCCCAAGGGGUCCUGGAUUGGAGAGGGUGCAGGCCAGGCUGAGGGGACCCCCUCCACCCCUCCUUCCAUGAAUUUUGUGCUCUGGGCCUUUAGUUUAAUAUAAGAGCCAAAAAUGUGACAUCCAAAAGAAGACCCAUCUUUAUGCUGGGAAAAAUGAUUUUAAGAGCUAGUUGAUUUAAGAUCUGCAUUUCAUAACAUUUUGUUAGCCAACCCUUUUCUAGUAUUUCUGUUCUGCUGUAUAUACUAUUCCAUCAGAUUUUGUAGGAAAAAAAUCAUUUUUUUUUGCUUUCAUUUUAAUGCUAGAAAAAAUUUUCCCAGGCCCAUCAGUUUCAGAUAGUGUAAUGCUAGUCAUAUUAAGCAAAAAGGGCAAACUCCAUGCCUCCUGGGUCCAAGAAAAUGAAUUAGCGAAGCUGGGUGUUUUGCAUAUUAAACAAGUUAGAACAUUGUUCAUUUUUAAUAUGGAUUCAGUGUUGCUCAGCCCUCUAAUUUUUAAGCACUAGAAUCAGGGUUUUUAUUUGAAAUAUUAUUGUUAAAUAUUAACUAAUUCAUACAAGCAUUUUAGGCAAAAAGACACUAGAGGCCUGACAUGGACAGCUGUUUUAGUUUCCUUUGUAGUGAAGAGCCGUGCUGGUAAAUUAUGGUCCAUGGGCCCAAAGAUAGUCUGCUGCUACCAAUUUUUAUAUGGCACAUGAGCUAAGAAUGAUUUUUACAUUUUUAAAUGGUUGGGGGAAGAAUCAAAAGAAUAUUUUUUUCCUUUUUGCCCCAGUCCCCUCAAGCAGAAGAGAGGUACAGUUCAGGACAAUAUUGUCAAGACUUUAUGAUUAAGAGUAUAAAUCCUGCCUUUACCACUGUGAUACUUUGGUAAAUUAUUUCAACCCUGUCUCAGUUUCUCCAUCAGCAAAAUAGGGAAUAUGAUCAUCUAAAAGCUUAUCACAAUGCUGUAACAGAGUAAGACUCCAUAAAUACUAGCCGCUAUUAUUGUUAUUACUACUGUUAGAGUUAUUACAACUCUAACUUUGUUACAGGGUUUUCCAUUCACACAGUUUCAUGAUGCGAGACAAAUGUAGUAUCUAUCCAGUUUUCCUUUUUGCUUUUGAUUCAGCUUUGCAGAUAUCACUGGUUUUAAGUAAGCUUACCUUAAAUAUUUUUAGAAGUAACAGACUUCAAGAAAUAAAUUAAGCAAAGCAGUUAUUAAUUUUUUGCUUUUAUAGAUUAAUGCCUCAAACCUAAAGCCAUUUACAGAUACUGUUAGGUCCUACAGGCAAAUGAUAAUACUGUAACCUGUAUAUUAAUUUGGGCAAGUCAGAAAUCCUCCCAAGCUUGUGUCCUCAUUUGUAAAAUACAGAUGGUGGUACCAACUUUGCAUAGUGUUGUGAAAACAACACUCUGUUGAAACUGUCAAGUGUUAGUGCUUUUGCCCAUUUUAUUCCCUUUAUUCUUGCUUUGUAAUAUUACUCUCCCUCACAUGUCAAUUAUAUAACAACUAGAGGCCUGGUGCAUGAAAUUCGUGCACUGGACAGUGUGGGGAUGGGGAGGGCGUCCCUCAGCCCAGCCUGUGCCCUCUUGCAAUCCGGGAGCCCUCGGGGGAUGUCUGACUGACGGCUUAGGCCAAGUGGGCCUAAACCAUCAGUCGGCCAUCUUUAGUACUGCUGUGGAGGUGGGAGAGGCUCCAGCCACAGCCUCUGCGCUCGCCAGCUGUGAGCCUGGCUUCUGGCUGAGCGGUGCUGCCCCUGUGGGAGUGCACUGACCACCAGGAGGCAGCUCCUACGUUGAGCGUCUGCCCCCUGGUGGUCAGUGUGAUGACUGGUCAUUCUGAUGUUCAGUUGAUUUGCAUAUUAGCCUUUUAUUAUAUAGGAUAUUCUUGCUAUUUCACACAUAGGCCCCCACCAACUGGAGAGGAUGCAUUCCUACAACAUAAAAACUGUUUAGCACAGUGAAUUUCAACCAGUGUGUCAUGAGAAUUUUUAAAACAUACAAUACCUGACUAUUUAGUCAGGGGAACUGACCCCUUUCACUUAGAUUUUAAAAAAAAAAAAUGACAGCCAAUACAAUAACAGUCUGGUGUGAAUGACUCAAAAUUGUAUUUAUUUUUGUCAGAUUGGCAAAAAAUAUAAUACAUUUUUUGGUGUGCAUAGAAUUUUAGUAAUUAGUUUAUGUGUGCCAUGAAAUGAAAAAGGUUAAAAAAUUGCUUUAGCAUUCAGAAGCUAAGUAACAUUGUUUUCUGUUUUUGUAGCAUUCUUUACUUAGCUUAAUAGAAGGCAGCUGGAUUCACAUAUCAGCUUCUGCAGCCGGCCUGUUGUACUACCAUCCACUUAGCUUUUGGAAACUCCACUGUACACUAGUCUGAGAAUAAUGAAGAAAACAUUGUCUUGGUUUUAUUAUAAGAAUAGUUCUAACAGGUGGGUCCUGUGAAAGGGUGUUCCUGGACCACAUUUGGAGAGCUUCUCUAAAUACUUGCAUAUACUGCUGUUUCAUUGUUUGUGGGUUUUUUUCUAUUUUUUUGUUUUUUGCAAUCUGUAUUGCGUACUGGCUUCCUAAUAAUAAAAAAAGUGAAUAUUUAGCUUUUUCUAUAUACUUUUAUAUAUUGCGCAUAAUCUAUUUUCCUGGUAUAGUUAUAGUAAUUUCUGGUUAAAUUUAUAUUCUUUGUUUUUAUAAUUGACAUAAACAUUAUUCACAUCUGAGUAGUAUAGAAUGACUUUAUACUACCUUUCUCAUACAAAACCUUUUUAUUAUUUGAUAAUUGCUCCUUAGACUGAGAGGGAGAAUUGCUUAUUUUUCUAUGUACUUAUUGCUGAUUCAUCUUCAGACUCUCUGACAGUAGUAUAAUUGCUUUUCUGUAUAUACACACUUAUCAGGUAGCUUGAUCAUGUUUCCUGUUUUCUUGGUGAUAGUCCACUUAUUAUUCUUCAGUGUUAUCAUCUAGACUGGUUACAAUCCAACCAUGUUGCUAUGCAGAUGUCCUGAGGGUAAUUGCUAUCCUAGAUUUGAAUGAACUUUGCCUCCAUCCCAUGUUGGAUGAUAGUUUUAUGAAUCUGAGAUCAAUAUUUUUGAAACCAUGCAUGUCUGAGAAUCUUGAUCCUCACAUUUAAUUAAUAAAUCAUCUGGGUAUAAAAUUCUAGGUUAGUAAUUUUUCCCUCCAGCAUUUUGUUAUCUUCUGGUCUGAUGCCAUUCUGAUUCCUGGUUCUUUGAACAUGGCCAGUUUUGCUUUACUUUUUUCCUCUAGAAGCUUCAGAUGUUUUUCCUUGUGCUUUCAACUUUCAAAUUUUUAUUGACAUAGUUUGCUGUCAUUCAUUUUUAUUCUCUGUAUUAAGGUUUAUUUUGUUUAUUCUUUUUACUAUUACUCUGUCCAGCUUUCGGGAAGACGUAAAGAUAAACAUUUAACUGGAAAUCAAUAGGACUUUGAAUUUUGCUAUCUUGAUAGCUUUUUAAAGAUUUAUUAGACUAUGUCUUAAACAUUAAAAAUGGACUUAAUGAUAAUUAAUAAUAGAUAAUGGAAACCAGCUGCAUUAUUAGCACUAGUUUAAGGUCAGACAGGAUUGCCUGGAGAGAGAUAUAUAAGGCAUUUUCUGGUUUUCCUCUUUAAAGCUCCAAAACUGUCUCCUUUAGAGCAACAACUCAUCACCAACUUUGUGGUUUUGCCUUGUGGCUUUAUCACUCUUAACUUUACUUAGGUUUCAUUUUGUACUUAAUAUCUUUUUCAUUUAUUUUGACAUGCUUAUAUAAGCUGUUGUGCCUGAAUUAUUUUUCUUUAUUGUUUUUUGCUUCUGUGCAUAUGAUUUUAAUACUUUUUUAUUACUAUGCUUUGAUGAACAGUAGAUAAAAAUCUGGCACAGCACUUAUUAUGUGUGUGGUUUAAUUGAGGUAAACCCAUUAUGAUGCAGAAUUCUGUAGAAACUCAGGCUAUGUUUUUGUUGUUGUUGUUGGAUAUGAGUAUUAUCCAGUUUUGACAUCAUGUCACUUUACCUAUUACCAGAAUUAAUUUGCCUGAGUUGUUAGUCAGGUGGUUGACCUAAUAUCUUCAUGCUUCCUCUUCCCUAAGAUGCACAUGGAGUCAGAUGAUAUUUAGGCCUUAUUAGUUCUGUGAUAAUACACAAAUAAUUUUACUUAACUUUUCUGGCUUUCAUUAUAUUUAUAAAUAUAAUAUAAAAUGAUGUAUUGGACUAAAAUGCCUUUUCAUGGUCCUUCCACAUGGAAGCUUUUCUUUCUGAGAACUAAACUGAUCAUAUAUUCAGAGACACCUAUUGCAUGGCCAGACCCUAGACUAGGAAUUUUUAAGUUACUAAACGGCCCCAAUGUUUGAGAAGCACUUAGUGUAGCUGAGAUAGACUAACCAAUUAUGUAAACCAAAUUAAUCACAACCUACUUAAAUGUCUGUAUCUGCUUUCACAAGAAAACAACACCCUGGGAUCCAAGAGCUAGAAGACUGGUGGAAUGAGGGAAUAAGAUCAAAUGACUACUGAGUAUUUAUUGUAGAUGCAUUUAAUACUUAGGCAUAGGGUUCAAAGCACUUUUAAUUUUAUUUUAUGUGUUAAUCCUCACACCAGGAUAUUUUUUCCCCCAUUGAUUUUUAGAGAGAGUAGAAGUAGCAAGGGAGGGAGGGAGAGAGAAACGGGAAGAGAAGAAGAGAAACAGAAAAGAAGAAACAAUAAUGUGAGAGAGACAUAUGGAUUGGUUGCCCCUGCACACGCCCAGACCAGGGCUGGGGAUCCAACCUGCAACCCAGAUGCUUGCCCUUGACCAGGAAUGGAACCCGCAGGGUGACACUCUAACCACUGAGCCAGGGCUCAAAGUACUUUUUACAUUUCACUCUAUAGAGACAAAUAUCCCCCAUCUCAAGAACUGGAUUUAUUUUUCUAGUAGUCAUGUAUUAACUUUGAAAUUUUUCAACUUGGUCGGAAGAUAUAAGUUUCCAUUUAAAUUAUUUUAUGCUUUUAAUAGAAUAUACUAGGAAUUUUCUUCUAAAAAAUUCUGCAUUUUAAAUGGAAUUAUUCAUAUUUGAAUAUGAAUGUGUAAUUCUCUUGUUGAGUAACAUUAAGAUCCAAGGUUUAAACAAAAAUGAGUCUAGAACAGGUUUGCUUUCCCCCCUCUAAUCUUUACAUUUAAUGUUAUAAUGAAUUAUAGAACAUACCUAAAAUUCCUAUCAUACUUAAAAUUUUCAGAAAGACAGUUGACAUUCUUAUUAGGAACAAUAUGAACUCAUGAUUAGGCAGUGGCAGAAGAAACCUAUUUUGACCAAUUUAUUCCUGGUAAAGGCUACAAUUCACCAUAAGUAGCAUAUGUAAUACCAUUGUUUAUAAAUCUGCCUGUAAGUUCUGGUCUAGACUUUUCUUUUGACUACCCAUUGCCUUUAAAUCUCACCAAUAUGAAUUUUAUAUAUAUAUAUAUAAAAGAAUAAAAGAUUUUUAAGGUACAUAUUCAUAUAUUAAUAUUCUGCUUUGUUCCUAAUGAUAUAAAAGUGAGUGAGUUAUGAUCUAGCACUAAAAGCAUUUACAGCCUGAUUUUUUAUUUCUGACCUAUUUUCUAAACAUAGACCUGUGCUGAUUAUAUAGAAUGAAUGCCAAUAUGUGGUUCAGAUUUUAUAGAUUUCUUAAAAUAGUUAGAUUGUGACACAAUGGCUUUAAAUUUUAAUUUCUUUUUGUGCCUGUAUUGCUGCUUGUAUAUUGUAGGAUUUUUUAACAGUAAAGGAUGUUCAUUAAUGAGAAAUGGGUUUUGUAGACAUUGUAAUUUUAGAUUAAUUUCUCAUUUUUAAAUCUCCCCCUAUUCCAAGUACAGAAUAGUAUAAUAACUCUAUUCAUGUAAUGAUAAUCACUUGAAAAACUGCUUUCUUUUGCUAUGUCAGACACAGCAUUUCCCAUGUGGACUUUUGUCACCAUAGCUGAGAUUGUAGCAAUCUUGUUUGACAAGUCAAAUACUGAUUUAAAUGAAUAAGAAAAUGCAAACAAACCUUUGCGGUCUUUAUAGCUUAAAAAUAAUAAAUUGGAGCAAUCUCUGACAUAACUUUUGUGCGUCUAAGAUUAUAGUUAGGAGAGCAUUUUGGAAUUUUUAAAGUAGAUUUUAAAUGAUAACCAAGGUUUUUGUUUGUUUAUUUUAAAAUUCUUACUGGAAUGGAAAGGGAUUUAAUUUUGUUGUCCAGUAAUGUAAGUCUUUUUGCAAUUGGCCUUUUCAAUUGUAGAUUGCUUUUUUUUUUUUUUGUAGAUUGCUUUUUAUUUGCUUCAACCUUAGUAGAUUUUUAUUUCAGCUUAUCUCAGCUAAAUCAGCUGGUGAAGGAAAUGACAGCUGUCAUUUAUUAAGCAGUUUGUAUUUACUAUGUACCCAAUAAUGAUUUAAAUGCUUCAUAUACUUUCUCAUUUAAUCCCCACAACAACCCUAUCAGAUAACGCACACUUAUGAUGAAGUAAUUGAGAUGGGAAAGUUAAAAUACCACUUGUCCAGCUGUCUUUCAUCCUCUAAAAUUUUGACAUUUCUUGUCUGAUAUCAAUCUUAUUUUUCUCUUCUUUUUCUUACAGAUUUUUACCUUUUUCAGCUUCUUUAGUAUCAUUUAAUUGGGUCUUAGGAAAAAUAAAACACACACACAAAACCUGUCCUUGCUGCUCAUAAGUUGAGAAAGGAAAGGAAUUCGAGUUUACUGAAGUAUUGAAUACUGGAAAGUCUGGCCUUUUUAGGUAUACAGUUCUGGUAAUUUUGACAAGUGUAAACAGUCAUAUACAGAAUAUUUUCCUCAAAUCCCCCCC